rnacentral:rRNA from 1 species
CACUCCUACGGGAGGCAGCAGUGGGGAAUAUUGGACAAUGGGCGCAAGCCUGAUCCAGCCAUGCCGCGUGAGUGAUGAAGGCCCUAGGGUUGUAAAGCUCUUUCACCGGUGAAGAUAAUGACGGUAACCGGAGAAGAAGCCCCGGCUAACUUCGUGCCAGCAGCCGCGGUAAUACGAAGGGGGCUAGCGUUGUUCGGAUUUACUGGGCGUAAAGCGCACGUAGGCGGACUAUUAAGUCAGGGGUGAAAUCCCGGGGCUCAACCCCGGAACUGCCUUUGAUACUGGUAGUCUUGAGUUCGAGAGAGGUGAGUGGAAUUCCGAGUGUAGAGGUGAAAUUCGUAGAUAUUCGGAGGAACACCAGUGGCGAAGGCGGCUCACUGGCUCGAUACUGACGCUGAGGUGCGAAAGCGUGGGGAGCAAACAGGAUUAGAAACCCUGGUAGUCCCAUGA